rnacentral:lncRNA from 1 species
UUUUUUUUUUUUUUUUUUUUUGCUUCUUUUUUGGGCUGCAUUCAUGGCAUAUGGACGUUCCCAGGCUAGGGGCUGAAUUGGAGCUACAGUUGCUGGCCUAAGUCACAGCCACAGCAAUGCAGGAUUUGAGCCACAUCUGUGACCUACACCACAGCUCAGGGCAACACUUGGUCCUUCUUAACCCACUGAGUGAGGCCAGGGAUCGAACCUGCAUCCUCAUGGAUCCUAGUUGGGUUCGUUAACCACUGAGCCACAACGGGCACUCCCUUCCAUCCAACAUUUUUUGUUACAAGGCCUUGGACCCACUAGACAAGUAAGAAUGUGAGAACAUAUUUAAAAAUGACCAAUGUUUUUUCUUCUCCCACAUUUUCUCUUACAAACAGAUCCAUUAAGUUUAGGCAGAUGAACUGGGUGAAAUUCAGAGAUAAAUGUAAAUAAAAUUAAGCUAUUACUCCUUUUUCACAUAAGAUAGAAAAGUAAAACAGAGAAUUGAAAUGUUUUCUCUUCCAUUCAGAGAAUGAGUUAGGAUUCGGAGGGUCCCAGAUACAACAAUAGCACGUUGACAGAAAUAAGACAGACAAGACCAAGCCUACCGAAAACUUGGAACAUUUCAAUCCUACACAACAUCAGUCCAUACAAUACAUGUUUCUUCUAUGUGGGGAAGUCUCCUGCCCCUAAGUAAAAUCACUGUAAAUUGAAGGGUUAAACUAGGAGGAGAGAGGCUGGUAAUGCAAAAUGCAGGAGUGAGAAGAAAAGGGAUAGAAUGAGGGCGGAGUCUUACAAGAUAAAUACUCUGCCUGAAUGCUUUUAAACUUUCAUGUUAAGUUAGGAGAACUCAUCAUCACCUGUAUAAUAUGAAUACUCAAAUAAUAAUAUUACUAAAAGAUAAAGUUUUCAACUUAGUGCUUCUUCAAGGUAGAAGUGUGAACUAAGUGUCUGUCUUAUGUACCUGGAUGCUUAGGGCCGAGGGUGGCUUAUUAAAAGGAAAUGGGAUGGAAAGGCUAAAGAAAAAAGCACAAAUGUAAGCAGUAGAACCAUUUAAAGAACUGGUUGAGUGUGAGGGUUAAUUUUAUUUUAUUUAUUUAUUUUUCUUUUUAUGGCCACCCUGCAGCAUAUGGAAGUUCCUGGGCCAAAGGUCAAAUCAGAGCUGUAGCUGCAGGCCUACACCAAAGCCAUGGCAACACAGGAUCCAAGCCACAUCUUCAACCUACAUCACCGCUUGCAGCAAUGCUGGAUUGUUAACCAAGUGAGCAAAUCUGCAUUCUCACAGAGACAACUUCAGGUCCUUAAACUGCUGAGUCAAAACAAGAACUCAAGUGAUGGUUAAAUUUGUCAACUUUUUACCUGUCCUCAGUGUGCCCAAAUAUUUGAUUAAACAUUAUUCUAGGUGUGUCUGUGAAGGUGUUUCCAGAUAAGAUUAGCCUUUGAAUUGGUACAGUGAGUAAAGACAUUAUCCUCCCUGAGGUGAGUGGGCCCCAUCCUAUCCUUUUUGAACCUAAAUACAAAAACAAAAGAAAAGGAGUAAGGGAGAAUUCACUCUCUCUCUAUACCUCAUUGUCUUUCAGCUGAGACAUCAGCCUUUUCCUGCCUUCCAACUCAGACUCAGACUAGAAAUUAUACCAUCAGCUCUUCUGCUUCUCAGGCCUUUGGACUGGGACUGGAAUGGUACCACUGGCUCUCCUCGGUCUGGUCUGUACUUCUCAGCCUCCAUAAUGGCAUGAACCACCAAUGCCUUACAAUAAAUCUCUACAUCUGUAUCUGUAUCCAUAUACACCCAUAUAAAAUACACAUAUAGAAUUGCUUAUAUAUGUGUAUAUACAUAUGCAUAUGCAAAUCUUUUAUAUAAUUAUAUAUACAUAUUAAAUGUACUUUAUAUCUAUAUCUCCUAUUGGCUUUGUUUUUCUGAAGAAUACUAAUACAUGGAAGGGACAGGAAGGAGAGAUAAAGAGGUGAACCAGCAUAGAAGGUCUGAAACACAAGUAGGGAACCUGUUAGAGUAAAGGCUAGUACCCAAGAAUCAGAUCACAGGCACCUCAGCAAACUGUCAAGCAGGUGCACCUGAGCUCAAAGGAGUAUAACCCUAUUUCAAACCAACAUCCAUGUGGUCCAGACCAAGAGCAGUGUUAUCUUUAAAAUGCUUGAGUAAAAUGGGAAUUCCAAUCUUUAUUGACAUCUCUCAAAAAGAUUUAAAGAGAUUCUAGUGCAUUCACAGCAGUUUCUAUUACAUGUCUGGUCCUCAUCUCUCUUUAAUUCCCAGAAACUCUCAGCUGCUUCACAUUCUUCCCUCCCAAAUUCAGUGUAUCCUUACUAUCAAUUACCAACAGCCUCUGAACAGCAUCUUCUCUCACAAAAUACAUGCCCAGCUUGUUCAACACUAGAAAUUAUUUUUCUUAAGAGAAUCUACUGACUUUCAUUUGUCCUUUCUCUCCUCAUGGCCAGUUGUGUAGCAGGGGAGGGUGUUAUGAAUCUCCUAAUCACUAGUUAUGUUGUCUCAUACUAGUUUUGACCAGGAUUUCAGCAAGAGCUCUAAGAAGAUAGGAUAUUAGUCCUCUUGAGAAUCCCUCAUCAACUAGAGCCCAUUUACCCUAAUGGCUUAAGGCAUACAUUGUAGAUGAUGCAUUAACUUAUCUCCUAUGAAUCUGGAACAGUACCAUCUACUUCCAUCCUUAGAAGAAUGGAGAAAAUAGUCACUAAAAUGAUUUUAUGUACAGCUUAAUUCUCUUAUGGAAGUGGUUGAGAAAGACCACUUUAGAAAGCAGAUGAAAAUAGCCUCUCUUGUUUCAAUGAGAAAUAAAGCUACUUCAGGGCUAAAAUAGGUUUUAUAUUUUCUCCUGACAGUUUAUUACAGUCUCUAUGCAAGACUCAAUUAAAAAUUUUAAGUGAUAAAAAAGUAGUAGCUUCACUAUAAGAUCCAUAUCAUCAUAAGUUACACCUAUCGUAUUCUCACAGUCCUGAGUCCCCAGCACAGAGCAUAGCAUUCAGUGACCAGUUGCUGAAAUGAUGAAUGAAUGACACAGUACUGGUGGGUCUAUCCAGGUAGAUCUAAGCCCCAAAAGUCAGGGUCCAGAAGUAAACAAACAGCAGAGAGCACCUGACAAGAAUUCGUUUGUAUUAAAUCAAUUCAUUUAAUUUAACCUAGAAAUAUAUUAGUAACACCAUGCGUGUAUUAAACUGUAGCUACAUUAUACUCCAUCAUUCCCUCUCUCUGUCAAAAGGCUUAGCUAUGCACCUAUUCCAGCUGUGAGCUGGGACACAGUUUACCAUAUCAGACAAGAGACACUCCCCAAAGAAAAGAGCAGGAGAAAACCCCAAAGCCAGUGGUUUGCUUUUGACAUAUACUUGUCCUAUAUUUAACCUGGACCCCAACGCAUGGGGGGAGCAGGGUCGAUGGUUGGUCUUAACGAUAUUUCUAAACCACUCACUGCUUGCUGUGUAAACCCCAGCCAUCAACUUUUUCCAGCAAAACUUCCUGUUGAUUCGUUUUUCAGAUGCAAUUUGAUAAGAACAAGGCGGUGAGGCAGGGUAGACCUUGCUCUGCUUCUCAUCUCUGAUAGUUAGGAAUUCAUCUUCAUAGAGCACGCAGCGGUUAUGUAAAACAAACCACAAUCAAACUGUCAAGAAGCUGCUACAGUCUUUUAAUCUUCUGUAUGUUGCAAAGUUCUCUCACCAUAUUUUGGAGACAAGGCGAUCAAUAUUUCCUUCCUUCUUCUUCUACUCUUCCUUUCCAACUAGACUGUGGAUUCCUGAACCUUCAAGAUGACAUGGAUCUGCAAGAGGUGGCACGCCUGGGUUCUUGAUCAGAUUCAAAAGCAUCAGUAAUUACAGAAACAGAACAGUAAAUACAAGGAACUAUAUCUAGUCACUUAUGAUGGAGCAUGAUAAUGUGAGAAAAAAGUAUGUAUGUGGUAUGUGUGACUUGGUCACCUUGCUGUAGAGUAGAAAAUUGACAGAACACUGUAAACCAGCUAUAACAGAAAAAAAUAAAAAUCAUUAAUAAAUAAAUAAGUAAAUACAAGGAAGGGCAUAAACAAUGGGAUCCUGGAAGGCAGCCAAUCCCUCAGCCUUGAAUUGGUACUUAUCACAGCAUAAGUCUAAUAGCUGGACACAGGUAGAGGACAAAAGGCCCAAGCUGCCCAGCAGGUUCCCCGGGCAGCUGCUAUCCUGUACAGUCAAGUAGGUCAAUGCAUUCAGACUUUCUGGCAAGCUGCACUUCUGUGUGGGGAAAAAAAAAAAAAUCAGUCUUUUCAAAAAGUAGAACAGAAAUGAGUUAACAAAUGAGUUCCAGCUGUUUAAAAUUAGACUGCCAAAGGGAAUGCCAUAUAAAAAUAUUCUCUAGGACCAUAAUAUUUUCACUAAAUUAGGACCUGAAUGAUUCAUUCACUGAAGCUACUGGCCUCUCCAUACUUAAGUCCGAGAUAGUCUUUAACAAAGUGUUCACAAACAUGUUGACUGAAAUGGUGCUAUCCAUCUCCAUCACCUAAACUGCUCACCUGACUUAAAGUGUAUAUUUCCAAAAACAAAAUGCUUGAAUCAUCACCCAGAAGACACUGACCACACCAUUUGGCUCAUGGGAAAGGAAAAGAGUGUAAACUGGAAGAAUUCACUAUUAGGUAGGACGCAGGACACCUGGGGGAUGAUCCCUGGCUUCCCACUUGUCAGCCACAUGAACUUGGACAACUCUCUUCGCCUUGGCUGACCAACUGUAAUAUGGAGAUGAUGUGUAUUUUGAUGGAACAUCAUGGUUGCUUAAAGUCCAUUCUAGCUCUCAAGUGGAUAAUUCCAUGACUUUUCUAGUAUGGUUCAUAUUUUUAAUUUAUAUCUUUAAAUCAAACAUGGGCAUGUAAAACUUGGCCCCUUACAUCGGUGGGGGUUUUCUCCAGGAUGUGGUUUUUACUUCUUCUUAGGCCUUCUUCAUGUCUCUUUAAUGUGAUAAAGAUCCUCACGUGACAAGAUCCUUUCUGGUUUCUCAUUCCCUGGUAUCAGAGUCUGCCCUUAUGGCAAUAUUGGCCCCUUAUAAUUACAAAACCCAUCAUUCUUGUUUCAGUCUUUGACAUAGCAGUUCAUCUUGUAAUAAUUCAGAUUAACUCAGAGGAUAAUUCAAGCAUAUUAAGUAUUUUUAUAAGUUCUGUUUGUCAGAUAUUAUACAAAAUUAUGAAAAUAUUAUUUAUUAAAUACUUGUAGUUAGAUAUUCAGCACAUAAAAUUUCCAGAAAAUAUUUAUAAUGGACAUGGCCCCUCCUGAGCAAAGUGACUAAAACAUAUUUCUUCUUUAAAAGAUAUUACAUGACAAAAGCCUUGGGACUGAACAACUUAGACACCUGGGGUUAAUCUAGAGCCCAAAAAUAAGUUCUUGUGGUUCUUUUGUCCCCGUUUAUCCUUUUAAAAAAAAAACCCUCCAUGAUCUAAGGCCAUCCUUCUUAAACAUAAAUUCAUAUUGGUACAUGUUGACAAAAAAGGGGUGGUUCAAGCCACAUAGUAAGCCUUGUUGCAUCUUCCUAGAACAUCUGUUUAAGAUUUUUUUAAAGUUUAUAUGAUUUUGAAAAAUAAAACAAGAGAUACAAAAUAAUUUUCAAAUUUCCUAUAUAUUACUUGAGACUAUGCUCCCAAAGCCAGCUUCCCUACAGAUUGAAGAUAGACAUCUUAUUCCUCUGCCAUUUAUGGACACUUGGAUGGACACUUCAGACAAAGAGUUAGUUGUAAGAAGAUAUGAAAGUGUCUCUUCUUUGAAAUACAAAAGGACCUAUAUCAUGGAAAAUAUACAUAUCCACUUUCCUCAACUAUGUAUGUAGAUAACUGACAUUCAAGUUUAUGUUUGAGUACAUACCCUGAAGUCCUUGGAGACUUCUUUGCCAGCAACCUUUGCUGCCUACUCACUUGUGCUGUUUUGUACCCUUUGAUACCUUCCCCAAUUAACCAUCAGAGUAUUAUAAGGGCACCCUGAUCCUGGGACAAAGCUAAACGUUUCUCAUCUAAUGUUUUCCAUCUUUGCCAAAUCAAUCAUCAUUCUAUCCAAGUUUUGCCCUGCACUAUCAGCAACAUCAAUUAACACUGUUUAUAAAAGGUAUGUUUUACUUUAGGUUGAAUUUUGUGAAAAUGAAAUAGACAAAAAUUUCAAACAUUUCCCCAGUUGUAAUAAUAAAAAAGAAAAUAUCUUGCUCAACACACACAUAUACACACACUUUAACACAAAAAAUAAUUCUUAGAACAAACAAAAAUAUUCCUGAGGUAGAGAGUUUUGAACAGACUGGAGUAAGAUGAUAAAUAUCACACUAGAAAUUUGGGCCCCUCUCUCACUGUCUACUUUUCAUCAUAAAAGAACUAGCUUUCUCUAAAAAAAAAAAUGUUUUGUUCAUAGAAUGCUAGAGAAGGUCUGGUUUCCUUUUCACUCAUCUGUCUUCCAUAUCAAUAAAGCUCUGGUCACAGACUUUACAAGGCCUGUUCGUUGUUUGGAAAAUAACUCUGGCACACUAGGUGUAGAGAGGAAAGAGGAGACCAGAAAAUAGAGCCAGCUUCAUUCUGAGUCAGAGACUGAGGAAAGGACUGUGGGAAAAAGAGCUGGCCCCCAGGGCCUUCCAAACCAACCACUCGUCCAAGCAUCUCCUUUAUCCCACAGGAAGGAGGGGGCCGAACCCUGUUGCCACCAGAGAAGAUCAAUCAGGAUCCCUUUGGGCAGGGACAGCCACAUCUCCUGGCCUGCCAAAGGCAAAGGAUAGAUUUCAAAGAGAUAGAUAUGGCAAGUUACCAACCAAUCACUCCACAUGCUGUUUU